rnacentral:sRNA from 1 species
GUGUGGCUGUGCCCUGUGGCCUGCCGUGUCUACUUGUCAUCACCUGCCUUCAAGAACCAUUUGCAGAUAUGCCUGAGGAGGCCUGGCCAAGGAUUUCGAUUGGAGGAUUGACCAGAAUCACAAAAAUGGGCUACAACUUAAGUCAUUAACGGGCUGAAGCAGAGGAUCCUGAAGCUGGAACAGCAGUGCAAGGAGAAGGACGGCACCAUCACAAACUCCAGAGCGAUAUGAAGACUACCAACUUGGAAGAGAUGCGGAUCGCCAUGGAGACGUACUACGAGGAGGUGCAUCGUCUUCAGACCCUCUUGGCAAGUUCUGAAACCACUGGAAAGAAGUAUGAUGGCCGUUUGCAAGCUGUGUUUUGUGUGUUGCCUUCACGUUAUGGAAGCUCCUCUGAGAGCGUGUGGCUGUCACGUGGGUGCGGCAUAUACUGCCCUUAGCUUGGCAGCAGUGCCAACACUGCACCUGUUCUGUUCAGGGUUAGAGUUGACACAUUUCCAUUUGGGGUGUUCACAGACUCCUCAUAGUGACCACAUGUUGACGGCCAACGCGUGUUCAAUGCUGCCCGUGUUCGUUAUAGAUUCUACAUCCUGCCUUCCAGCUUAGAGCUAGAAAAUGCUGUUUCAAAGCAGAUCCACCUUUUUAGGAAGACAUUGCAUACAAGGACAAGUUUACUUUGCCACCUAAUGUUUUCCUAAAUAAGUUUAUCAGGAGA